rnacentral:rRNA from 1 species
GACGAACGCUGGCGGCGUGCUUAACACAUGCAAGUCGAACGGAAAGGCCUUUUCGGAGGUACUCGAGUGGCGAACGGGUGAGUAACACGUGGGUGAUCUGCCCUGCACUCUGGGAUAAGCCUGGGAAACUGGGUCUAAUACCGGAUAGGACCGCACUUUAGUGUGUGUGGUGGAAAGUUUUUUCGGUGUAGGAUGAGCCCGCGGCCUAUCAGCUUGUUGGUGGGGUAAUGGCCUACCAAGGCGGCGACGGGUAGCCGGACUGAGAGGUUGGUCGGCCACAUUGGGACUGAGAUACGGCCCAGACUCCUACGGGAGGCAGCAGUGGGGAAUACUGCACAAUGGGCGCAAGCCUGAUGCAGCGACGCCGCGGGGGGGAUGACGGCCUUCGGGUUGUAAACUCCUUUCGCCAGGGACGAAGCGUUUUGUGACGGUACCUGGAGAAGAAGCACCGGCUAACUACGUG